AGCAUGACUAUCUCCAGUAUCUGCCUUCAUGUACCUCCUCAUUUCCUCAAGAAUAUCCUUUGCGACCUUGCAUCUACCAGUAGCAGGGUCAGUACCCACGAGGGAUUCAUCAAUGAUACCAAAGAGAAUAUCAUCUUCAGUUAAAAUACUUUGCUUCUUUUUCAAACUUUCUGUCAUCUUUUCUCUUCUUACUCUAGAUUCCUCUUGCCUCUGUCUAACCACCAAAGGGCAGAGAUCUUUCUCAUGGUUAAGCCUUUGACAGUGGAAGCAUCUUUUCUGAACUCUUUCAUAAUGAAAGAGAAUCGUUGCCGGCUUUCCUUUGAUAGUAAUCACCUUAGACCUCCUGAGGGGAUUUGCUACGUUGAACUUCACUUGGACCCUAAUGAAAAUUUGUCGGGUCAAAGGCCAUGACCAUUGUCUUUCCCACCAGAUCACCGAGUGCUGUCAGCGCUUCAUACGUGUAACAAUUGACUGGGAUAUUACUGAUUUGAACCCAAAUCGGAACAAACUGCAGAUAGUCUUCUGGAGGGUUUUCAACCCACCUUUCCACCGCUAUUACCCACUCAUUGAAUGUGUGAAUCCUUUCUCCAGCACAUCAAGUAAAUCAUGUUCAUUCUGAAAGAUGAACUGAAAUCUUUCUUGAGAUAAGUCAAUCCCACGCACUCGACCUUCCUUCUCCCACUUUCGCGGCAUCCUCAUAAUCAGAGUCGACAUCUUCUGACACUGAGGGUUGAGGAUCCUUCCAAUCAAGCUUAGUUUGUUGUCCUCCGCCGAACUGAACUCUGGUAGCUCCGGCAUGGCGAACGGAGUAUCUUCUUCAUCCAGCGACAGGGCCAUGAGCGCUUUAUCCAUAGCUAAAGACAUGCUUUCUUGCUUAACGACUCUUCUUUUCUCAAAAAAACUCUCACCACUUUUCCUCCUUGUUCUUAAUAAUUGAAGAACAGUUGAGAAAAACAGCAGGAAAUUUCGAAAAGGAAUCCAAAGUAGCCUCAAAAACAAAGAAAAGGUUGACAAUUUUGCUCAGAAACGUGUUAUACCAACCAAAGUGCACUGAUUGAUGUUCUUCACCUUUUAGACCACUGGGUAAUACCUGGAGCCCACGCGGGGACGCUUGAGAGGAAAAAAUGCUCCUUCCACACUACUCUCUGUUCUGACGCUGUCCCUUACAUCCAUCUCUUAAUAUUAUUAGCAUUAAAAGAAAAAGAAAAAUGGGUUAAAUGUGAAAGAACGUAUCUUAUUUAGGGGAUAGAAUAGACGGAUCUUCUGGGACACGUGUUAUUCUUUGGGCCUUCAUCUCUUUGAGAAGAGAGAGAGAGAGUUGAAGCAAUCUCAUCGAUGUUCAUCUUUGCGUUUCUUUCUUGUAGGAUCCUGAAUCAUUUGAAGAUCAAAUCCUUGUGUUGUUUUCUUGUUGUCUGGUUGAUAUGAACGAGACCGGUGGUUCAAGGAAGUGCUCUCCCCCAUCCCUUCACAGCAUAAGAUCGCCAUGCUCCAAUUCUUCCCCAGCUCUCAUACCCUUGACUCGUGUAUGUUCCCGGCGAAGAUUUCGAACCGUUGGUCCUGAUCUCUCCAAGAAGCUCGAGUUUACUCAGGGUGAUCUAAGAAACAAAGGCGAUAUUGAGAAACUCUUCUCCAAACAGAGGUUUGAUGCUGUGAUUUAUUUUGUGGGUCUUAAAGCUGUGGACGAGAGUGUUGGCAACCCUCGCCGCUACUUUGACAAUAAAUUGGUUGGAACUAUCAAUCUUGAAACUUGUGAGUAAAGGAUUUAA